UACGAAGGGGGCUAGCGUUGCUCGGAAUCACUGGGCGUAAAGGGUGCGUAGGCGGGUUUUUAAGUCAGGGGUGAAAUCCUGGAGCUCAACUCCAGAACUGCCUUUGAUACUGAAGAUCUUGAGUCCGGGAGAGGUGAGUGGAACUGCGAGUGUAGAGGUGAAAUUCGUAGAUAUUCACAAGAACACCAGUGGCGAAGGCGGCUCACUGGCCCGGUACUGACGCUGAGGCACGAAAGCGUGGGGAGCAAACAGG
rnacentral:rRNA from 1 species